CGUUCUGUUGUAUUAAACUUAGUCAUAAGUAGACUUGACUUCCUUUAACGCACACAAUUGUCUAAGACGACAGCCGCCGCAGAGGAGGAAAAAAAAGUAAGGACCAAGCGAGAGAAACUUUACGACACUUGACUCACAGGAACCUCCAUUGAUCAGAUUUAUUAAGAAACAUCCAAAAGAAAGGAGUAUGUAUCCGUCAGCAAAAAUAAUCAAUAUUGUUGCCGUAAUAAUCAGCUUGGUCGCAUUCACGACAGUGGUGGCUCAAAAUGUGACGACUAAUGCUGCUUCUGCUACUUAUCCUUCUACUUCGGUUAACGGGUCUACUACAGUAGCUCCAAUAUCGAACUCCACGUCCAAAUCCGGUGCUGCUGGAAUUGAAUCUGUCUGUAGCCAAGCCUUCAUGACGGUCAUCAGCCUCGUUAUUCUUCUGUUUAACUUUAUAGUAUCUCACUAAAUAAAAAUUAUAGCGGUCACAUGGCAAAAUCGCUUCGUGCACCAAUAUAUACGAGGAAUUUCUACAUGACAAGCCUUUCAAAGCAUUGAUGCAGCAAAUUCCUCUUGUUAUUCACUUGUUUUCUUCUGUUUUAAAAUAGUUAUCUAAUUCUAUCGGUUGUUCCACCAUAGAUUUUUUUUUUUCUGAAUAAAUUAUUUUACCUUAAAAGUAUAAACUCGCGUAAAAGACAAAAAGAUGUCGUCUGCGAUCUUACAUUUUGUUGAAUCGUCUCAUUUUCUUCCGUAUCUGUUAUGUUUUCUGUUCCUUCUAGCAUAUUUUCUUUCUCUUUCUUAAAUGGUUUAUUAAUAAGAAUGGAAAAUAAAAACUGAAGAAAGCUAAAAUCUUA
rnacentral:lncRNA from 1 species